UCACCCCUCGAGGGUGUACUAGCCUUUAUUUUUCCUAAUAAAACUGAGCUGUAACCCAGCUGUAACAUUGGUCUGACAUUUCAAAUCUUUACUGUGGCAAGACAGAACUGAGGAAAUUACACACUCCCCGGACAUAUCUGGUGCCAGGCCCUGGAUGUAACCUCGCUGAAACAAUCUAAACUCUGCCCCAGCAAGGUGGAGACCAAGCACACAGAAGCCCAGCUCGGUGAAAGCUCACGUGGUGGACGCUGAAGGUGAAGGAAACCCAGCGCAGUGGAAGUAACAAGAAGCCCAGCGUGCUGGAAACCAGGGCAACAAAAAAGGAACUCAGCAGAAACCUCGCGCAGCUCAGUCUCAGAUUCCAGGAGACCUCCGGUUAAGAUAAUAUUCUCGUCACCUGCCCAGCUGAUCAAGUUCAUCACCAAACUCCUUUCUUCUUCAUCAACUAUACACAAUUUUGUGUUAAACCAUUCCAGAAGAAUUUAUCUUGUGGUGCAGUGGUAAAAACAUCUGCCUGCCAAUUCAGGAGACACAGGCUCCAUCUCUGGGUUGGGAAGAUCCCCUGGAGUAAGAAAUGGUAAUCCACUCCGCUAUUCUUGCCUGGAAACCCCCAUGGGCAGAGGAGCCUGGCAGGCUACUGUCCAUGAGGUCCCGAAGAGUUGGACAUGACUGAGAUAGCUCACACAUAUUUGUGUUAUUACAUUUAAUAGUUAUUUUUUCCAGAAUAUUAAUGUGUUUAAAAAUAAUGAAAAUGUUGGAACGCUUUUCCUAAGACCCCAAUAUUGC